AGAAAUGUGCUGUCAUGCUAUGCAUUUCCUGAGGUAAUUUACACGAACCUACCAAAAUGGUGUUUGAGUUAUUUCACUCUACAUAUUGUUUGCAUUGUAUAUCGUAUUAUCAUAAAUCUAUUUGUUUCACACGGUAAAGGAAAAUAAUCAAAUUACUUACACAAGUAUUUAUUUAAUUAAGCUUUAACAUUUGUACCUUUUUUAUAAGAUUGUGUACUCAUUUCACAGCACAUAAUUGGUUUCCUAAUUUAUUACAGCUAUUUUGACUUGAAACCUGUUCUUUAUCAUCUAAAAUGUGUCUCUUGGUGUUUACCUCCAAUGGCCAUUCUGUGAAAGUGUCCCAUUCUAGAGCUGAGAAGAGACAGCAGGACAGGGAAUCAUCUGCUAGUGUCGCGUCAGAUGUCUACAUGUCCACAAGUUGUUUAAGAAAAAGUAAGUAGAUACGACUAUUGCAAACACAAGGCAAGAAGUUAUCAGAGAUGAACCCUUCAUCACCGAGUUCAAAACCAGAUGGCCUGCUCUCUUCUGUGUUUCUGAGAAUAAAUUUAAGAGGACUACAACAGUUUGCUGCAACAGUUCUUCUCCAUGCUGGAUGGUUAUUCUUCAGACCUGAAAACGGUGUUUGGCAAGGAAGGCGGCAUUCAAGGACAAAAGAUUAAGAGCAUCAUGGUUCCCAUAACCCAGACUAACUCCAUUGAUGUCAGAAGAGUACAUCCUUUAAGCCCAGUGUGUGUUCCUCAAUGAAGAUCCUGGCAACCUUGUGAAAGAAUGGAUGAUCGUGGACGCCUUGAAGAAGCCAUGAUAGAGACAAUUCUUGAAGUUUUUGUCAUUCACAAAGAUGCAGAGGCAGAUGAUGACCCUGAAGAUGUAGUCAUCGUUUCAAGUCUUGGAUGAGUUGGGUAGUGUCCCACUUGCUGUGUUGUUGUUGUUUGCUCUUGUUAUAUGCUCUCAACCUCAGCUACCCUCCACUAAAAGUUGUUUGAAAUAUUGGCCCAAUGCUGUAUGUACAAUACUGGAUGUUAGUGACAUUUUGUAGCUGCCUUUGACAUUUGAAAGCUGUUUUAUCGUUUUUAUGAAGCUUAUAAAGUAUUCUAACCAGUCUAAA